rnacentral:rRNA from 1 species
GUGAGCGGGAAGAGCUCAAAUUUGUAAUCUGGCACCUUCGGUGUCCGAGUUGUAAUCUCGAGAAGUGUUUUCCGCGCCGGACCGCAUACAAGUCUGUUGGAAUACAGCGUCAUAGUGGUGAGAACCCCGUAACUGAUGCGGAUGCCCGGUGCUUUGUGAUACACUUUCGAAGAGUCGAGUUGUUUGGGAAUGCAGCUCAAAUUGGGUGGUAAAUUCCAUCUAAAGCUAAAUAUUGGCGAGAGACCGAUAGCGAACAAGUACCGUGAGGGAAAGAUGAAAAGCACUUUGGAAAGAGAGUUAACAGUACGUGAAAUUGUUGGAAGGGAAACGCUUGAAGUCAGACUUGCUAUUUGGAAUUCAGCCGCAAGGUGUACUUUUCAAUUCGCAGGCCAGCAUCAGUUUUCGGGGGUGGAAAAGGGUAGAGAGAAGGUAGCAAUUUCGGUUGUGUUAUAGCUCUUUGCUGGAUUCAUCCUUGGGGACUGAGGAACGCAGCACGCUUUUUGCAAGGCUUUCGAGCUUUUCGUGCUUAGGAUGCUGGUGGAAUGGCUUUAAACGACCCGUCUUGAA